UCGGAGCAGCAGAGGCCGGAACAUUAGCAGCGGUAAUAACAGCAGCAGAAAAGAAAGACGAUGUUGCCAGCCAACUAGCUUCGGUGCGAGGUGCCCGCAAAGCCCGUGGCUAUACAAGAUAUAAGAAAGCAGUUAGAUAAAAGGAGACUUACGAACCCCAGCAGACAGCACUAGAUCGACGCUGCGGUCUUUGGCCCCUAUACGCGUCGUGUCAAAUCGUUCAUUCGUUGUUUGGUUAAAAUUACGUACCAGCGGGUAAAUCAACAAUGAUGAAAUAGAAACUGAUUGUCAAAUCUGUAAUACCAAUCAUAUGCGAGUGCACCCAGCAGGCAACUAGAAGGUUAUAUCUAGUGAAGAACACUCGUCAAGUCACUGAACAAAGAAUUAAGAUUGUAUCAACGAUCAGUCGGUUAAGACAUUUCUCACCCGUAACUCAUCAACAACCCAUCCUGUUAUCUGAACCUGUAAUUUUUUGUUGUUGCAACAGCCCUAAAGUAGAUUUACUUGUUCGCCACAACAUUGUACACGACGACAAACGAGCGCAAUAAGGCACGUUAUGUACGAAUCAGUGCGGAGGCGGCCUCGAUGUCUACCAGCAUUGCACUGUUCCGCGAGAGUUAAUCGACGCUUUAAGCGAAAAGAUUGGCCAGCUGCUCGGCUGGGUGCUCCCGGACCACGGCAUCGCUGGGCGCUCGGAAACGCGCAGUAACCAGCAGCAAAGAAACGACUCUAUCGAUUCCGUUUACUGCCACAAUUAUAAUCAUCGCAUCAGUAACGCCACAACAGCAGAGCAGCUUACGGAGUUGAUGCGGAGCACCGACGGUGAGCUGGAGCGCCAUCGACAUGGAGAACUAGGACCCCAGCAUUCGUUGGUGCAUUCUCAUCUUAAAUCGUUCAACAAAUACCGACUACGCGACUUCCAGGAUAUUGCCGUUAUAUUAGCCGCUGGUGAAAUUUGGUAGAUCAGAAAUUUCCAACUGAAGAUCAUAUGUCAGUCGACGUAAUAGAAAUACGGUAGCAACUGGGAUCUAUUUGUCACUGAGCGGAAGAGAAAGCCAUAAACAGAAAUUUUUGCGAUACUCUUUUAAAUAAUUUAGUGUGCACUGCGUUCUCAACGUGGACACGCACGUAACAAGGACCAGUGAACUUUGCAUUCAUUCUGGUCUUUUCCUCGAGUUAAUGUGGGUCACGUUCCAGCAAUGGACGCGCAUUUAUCGUGAUCUGCGUCACAGAUUUCAAGAAUCGUUGUCCUCCCACCGGUCCCUACUGCAAAAUUAUAAGAAGUGCAAUUGUUGUCCGUUGCAGCUACAGCCGUUAUUAAUACCAGUGGCAAUUACACGCUGCUCAACUAUUCAAGUCGGGUUUUGCCAUUACCUUGGGCGAUCAUUAUAUCGUCUAUUGCCGCUAGCCACAGUCUUCAACCAGCGACUGCUUAGCUGUUCCUGUAUUACUAGCUGCUCUGACGCGUUCGACGCUUAGUUCGGCCGUGUUGACGAGCGGGUCAUUAGCAAAAGUACCAGAAGCAGCGCCAUCACUGAAAGGUGCUUUGUAAGUCAACCUUCUUGUUCCGUCUCGGUGCCGAUUGCAAUUAACUACUGACUCUUCGUAAACCGACAGAUAAGCAGCUGCCACCCAACAGACCACAGGACAUCGUUGUUGUCGAACGGCACCUUUACUGCUAUCGCUGUCGACGGCGUUCCUACAGCGGCCUCCUCGCUACAACGUUAGAAUCACCUCCUUACCGAACGCUAGCGUCUACCCUUUCCAGGACUCGCCUGGACGCCAGACGACGAGCGUCGCGAGUCUCACGCGGAUCACUAGCAUCUGCUGCUGCUGCUGCUGCGGUAAGCCGCUGUCGUCUUCAACUUGACAUCUGAAUCGAGCUUGUAAGCUGGUGCUAGUCCAGCUCACAGAUAACGGUAGCUUGCCAGUUAGCCGGUUACCAACAGUGACAGAUAGUAUUCGAGUGUCAAGACAAAAAUAGUGCGUUUGUAGUGUGUUACAUUUGGAAGUAACACAUACAUUAUUCAAUGCAGCAACAGCUCGUAUAGUCCCAGGGAACACCAACGGAUUGAGUCAGUCUGAACAGUUAGGGCUGAAAGCGUCAACUGUAUUAGCAGUGUCUCCGACCAGAACAGAGGAAAAAACUUUUAAAUAUCCGAACGAUAACAGCUGGCUAGUUGUCCGAAGUAGUUCUUUGCAACAGCCGAGUAAGUGAACAAAAAUGAAGCUUCAAAGUCAGGACAGCACGACGCUGGAGCCGGCAGAUCUGGGCAUGGAGAUUCUACGUAUCUCUGUCAAGGUGCCCAUGAUCAUCUGUGAGGAGGUGGCCCCACCACAGGAUGGUGAGGCCGAUGAUAACACAAAUGAGGUGGAGAUGACGCCGCCACUUUCGCCUCGCGUCAUGUGCCUGCUUGCAGUCCCUGCAGUCGAUUCGUCAAUCGAACGGCGGCCGUGUGAAUUCAACAACAACACCGUAAACGCGUAAAGAGCAGGGCGUGAAGGUGACGCACGAAUGCUUCAGGAGUGGCGACCUAUUAGUUUCGAUGACAAUGGCACACUAACGCAGCGAGUAAGAGAGAAAUGUGAAAAGUCGUUGUUUUGUUGAAGCGUUGACGAUGCAUUGCAUCUACCGCAAAUCCCUGUUUCGCGUUUUUCCUUUCGUAGCCAGUCCCCAUCCCUGAGAAAUUAAAAAUAUUUCGAUGCCAAAACUGCCAGGCAAAUCAAGACGCAAUACCACAUAUGUGCGUAUAUAUGCCUCACCUUAAGCCGAUUUUGGAAGAGCUUACGGAAAAUAACAAAACCUAAAUUAUCGACAAAAACCUUCAUCCUUAGUCACAUCUGGCCGCAUGGAUACCUUAUGCAUUGUUGUAUAUUGUGGAACGUGCUUGCAGCGCCAUUGACGUCAAAAGAACAGCUUUUACAAACAACGAUGGCAGUAAACGCAACAACAGCCUCAACGUUCGACGACAUGUAUCAAGCCGAGGUCGAAGACCGCACACCAGCAAAGAGAAGACCUUAGAUAUUAGGCUGUUAUCGUUAUAGACUGCCUAAACGACGGGCUAAAUGAUAGAACAAACGGGAAUAUGCCAGCGGAAGCAAAGAGCAAGAGACAAACGAGCUUCAUUUUUCAAACACUUGCUGGUAUCACCAGUUACUCUACUGCUCGUAUAAUUCCUCUAAAUCGUAGAAGAAAAACAGGUUGAAAAAAAGUUGCUUUUUGCUGUCAUUUUACUACUGAUAUCAGCGUCUGCCUUUCGUUGUCGCAGUGGCUGUGCUUGACAUCUACCUCGCCAACUAAUUAUUCGAGGGUGUCUGGACAACCUUUAAAUUCGAUGCUGGAUUAGCGGUGCUUCUGUGGAUUCUACAUUGUAUAACCUCUGUCCCCAGCCCACCUAAAUUGAUCCCUUUCUUUUCUAACCGACUUUUCUCUCUACAAUUUCUCCGUCAUUUUUGCCACUCACUUGACGCUUAAUUAGGUUGUGUCUGACCUUACCGCGGCCAAGUGGACGUCAUCAUACACGAUAUGAAUCAUAAUGAUCAGGUGAAUAUGUGUAUGCAAAAGCUUGGAUAGAAAUAGACAGGAACAGAAAGGUAGACAAGCCCCGAUAAGGAGCAACGGAGAGGCUACGAAUGGCAAAUGCAAGAGUAGACAAGAGAAACGUUGAGCAGAGGAGCUGGAAGACGACAGCGUCGAGUGGGUCCGCCAAAAUGCGCAGG